rnacentral:lncRNA from 1 species
UGCAAGAACCUACCUCUGAGUAGUGACUGCAAAAUUAAUAUAAGAGUGCUACUAGUUUAGCAGGGCAACAUGUGAAAACAAAAGGAUUUUCAUAGAACAAAACCAUAAAUUCAUCAAACAAUUUAGUAUGAAGAAUAACGAAUCCAAAACAAACAACAUAAAAAUCAAAUAAAUCAACUGCUAAUACCAUCGUUGAAUCAACUUUAGUUUCAGUGCAUUGAUAGCUACAACUGCUUUCUCCAGCUCCAGCCUUGGCAUAUUUUUCAGUCAUUGAUCGUGCAGAACGUAUGACUAACUUCAUGCUGUGCAGUGUUUACCUCAAAUCAUAAAUUACAAUGCCUGCCUUCAACAUGAAAUAAGAAAAAUAUAGCAUGAUGAAUUUGAGUUCAGGAAGUCAGCAACAAUCAUAAGAAUCUAAGACACAGCCAUACAAGGAUCAUUUCAAGACUAACACUUUUCGAAGAGAAAAGUACUGCAUAAAAACAGCUCUGGAGUUGAAAUUUACUUCAGAGGGUCCUCAAUGCAAACAUAGGGAUUUUGUAUGGAUGGAAAAAAUUAUCAUGGCAAUUUUUCAACAUUUUGAGAUCGAAAAGAAAGAAAGCUUGUUCAGUCUAAGGUCAUCAGCCAAAAAUCAUAAAUUCUAUAAUCUUGAAAUGCAAAUACAACCAAAAGCUCCACAAAUAUUAAACCAAGCAUAGUGAAUAAAUUUACUAACAUACAUCUCCAAGUAUGAAGCUCAAGUCAUUACUGACAUUUAUAUUUUCUAGUAAUCAUGUGGAUGCCGACAUUCGAAUGAAAUCAAUCAAGAAAAUGUCACUCCAUUUCAUUAAAGUUAUUACAAACUAAAAAAAAUUAGCUAGAAAACAAUGAGAAAAAACUACAUUAACUAAUAAAUUGUUGAUAAGAAACGUAUAUAAACAUGCAAAAGAACAGAUUUUAAAAAAGAAAAAAGAAAAACACAUGUCUAACCUUCAUGGAAGAACUCGAACGUUAAAACCCACGUGCCAAAACCAACCUGGAAAAAUGGAUUUUCAUUGUUAUAAAUCUUUGAACUUUGAUUGUCAACUUUUUUUUCCAAUAUUUCUUUGUUCCUCUUCGCUCUUUUCUUGCUGCAAAUAAAUACAGGCAGAGCAAGAAAAAAAAAACUGUGAAAAAAAUACAAUUAAAAAAGAACAAAUAAGACAAAGCAAAGAAAACUUUAGUGACCUUGAAAGAGAGAACUUAGCUUUCAUGGAUACGAAAAAAGCAAAGCAAAGAGCAUGUGGAAUUUGGAUUAUUAUGAGCUCACUCAAUCAUCUCUACUUCACAAUCCAAACUCAAACAAAAUGCAAAUCUCUACUGUUCUGAAACGCCAUAUAUGUCUACAAAUUUCUUAUAUAUAUAUAUAUCAGUCAAAGUGUACUGACCAUGUACUGCCACCCUAAAUUACCUGCAAAAUAAACCACUACCAGUAAGGGCAGCAGCACAGCUCAAGCAAUUUCUUUAAUCAUCAAAAUAUAAUCUUCAUCGGAAAGUGAAAGCUGAUUAUAUCAAAAUCGGAAAGUGAAGCUGAUUUCUGUUUGGACUAUGAUGAACAUAAAUAAAUUAAUUUAUGCUAUAAGAUUAGAUAUGCUACCUAUUUAUUCAUAAAAUCAAACUGAUUCUAUCAUGUGCCAACUGAGAUCAAAGAAAGAAAAUCAUUAAUAAUAAUAA